CGUAUGUUCCAAGCGUUAUCCGGAUUUAUUGGGCGUAAAGCGAGCGCAGACGGUUAUUUAAGUCUGAAGUGAAAGCCCUCAGCUCAACUGAGGAAUUGCUUUGGAAACUGGAUGACUUGAGUGCAGUAGAGGAAAGUGGAACUCCAUGUGUAGCGGUGAAAUGCGUAGAUAUAUGGAAGAACACCGGUGGCGAAGGCGGCUUUCUGGACUGUAACUGACGUUGAGGCUCGAAAGUGUGGGUAGCAAACAGGAUU
rnacentral:rRNA from 1 species